UUUUAUAUUUUUAUUUAAUAAAAGAAAAGAAAAAAAAAGAAAAUUUACAAAUUUUUUCCCCUUUUCUUCUUCCUCCCGUGCGCCGACCCUCCCUUCCGUUCUCCUUCCGUUCGCAGCCAGCAACCGCCACCCCAAAACUUCUCUUCUUCCGUUUCUCUUUCUUUUCCACCAUACCCAGCCGUUGUUGCUCUGUCUCCGUCGCUGCAACCGUCGGCCAGUUCGCGAAGCAAGCCGUACGCGUCACCUUGCAGCAGUCGUCCAGAUCUGCACCCCGCCAGAUCGAGCCGUCCACCGGGUUCGUCUGUUUCUGUCUCCGUUCACCGAAGCCGAACCCAACCGCCACCCUUUCUUUUCUUCUUCGAUCCAAAACUGCCGCUGCAACCGUCUCCGCGCCGUUGCUCUGUCUCCGUCUAAGCCAAGUCCAGCCGUAUGCCGUCUCUCCAUCACGAGUCACCCUGUUUCGCGAAGCUCCGCUGCCCCACCUGCUAUCGACGUCGGCCGACUAGUUGCUGUAACCGUUCAGAUUCGUGGUCUGUUCGCGUCAGUCCCCAUCCGUGAAGCCCAGCCGCCACGUCUCCUUUGGCCGACCGCUGACCGACCCACACUUAGGAUUUUUACUGCGAGUUCGACAGUUGUGCGUUGAAGUGUGCCGCUGUCUCUGUUUUACAAUUUUAUCGAGGUUGCUUUGUUGGUGUUGGGAGUAACGUUGGGCUCCCUUAAAUUCACAACCAAUUUGUGAAUUGUUGAGGGUUCAAUUCGCCAAUACUUCGGAUUGUUUCGUGGACGUUAGUUGAUUAAGGAGCUUCCCUAACUUUGAGGCAAAAGAAAUAAAGGUGGCAAACCGGCGAGGGGCAGGAAGGAAGCGUGAUUACCAUAGGAAACGUGUUAUUUGCUUCCGCUUAUUGUUUCUUUUGAGGUUUAAAGACGUGGUAUUGAAAGUUAGUUUACAAACUUUUAUUUGUAAAUAGUACAUUUUUUUAGUUUUUUUGAAUAUUAGAAAAUCAGGCCUGACUUAAAGUUAUUUUUCAAUUGGCUUACAUUUCAUUUUGUAUCAACCAAAGUCUUUUGUCAAAAAUUAAUGACCUCGACUUACCUAGAAAAGUUGGGUCGUUACAUACUUUCUCUCCCUUUCAUUAUGUACUGACGCUUUUGGUAUUUAUUGUACGGUUACAUGGAUUUGUAAGGUUCUCUUUGCGGUUAAUGUAUGUUUAGUACGUGUUUUUCGUUCUUUUUA